UUGCUGUCUGUGCUGCAGUAAUAAAGAAACACGCGGAUAGACAGAACGGCUUCAAGUGAUGGGCAGUCUCCGGGGAUCUGCAGUGAGAUGGCCGGCUGACUGGAAAUGCUCUCAAUCACUCCAGAGGGUAUUUGUCCUUGAAGAAGCCAUUCAUUGCCUACCAAAGAAAAACGUCAAUUACGAAGAGAUGAAGUUAACAGCGAUCUCCAAUCGAUGCACUGCUUUCCGACUAACAGCCGUAGGCACAGCAGUGAAACCCACAGUCAGGACCUGCUCGGGAUCCACGGACAACCGUGGAAUGGCCAGGGUUUGAGUGUCUCCUGCCCACAAAGCUGGCUCCAAACAUCUUCCUCCUCGCCUGCAGAGCUCAGCCCUCUCCUUUGUGGGGGGCAGGGUGGUUGGUCUUCCAAAGCUCAGUCGGUCACCAGGUCACCCAAGAGCCAGCCUCCUCCCCAACUCUGGCCCAGCAGCUCCUCCCAGCAGGCCCACUGAGAUCUCUGUUCUCUCGGUUCAGAAGCCCAGCUCGUGGCUGCUGCCCUGGGAAAGCAGGACGGAAUGGGCCAUCUACAACAGCGUUUCCAGAUCUGAAGACUGGAAGCUAGGAAAUAAGGAAAUCUGUUAAUUAAAGCACAGCUACUUUACAGUAACUGUAAAGAGCUUAGUUUUGGACCACAGUAGAAAAAUGAGGUUCUGUGUCAAUGAAACUUAAUGCCAUUCUAGUCUGAAUUAGAAAUGUGCUUACUUAGACGUCCUUAUGAUUAUUUUUUAGGCUGAGAAACAUUUCAUCCUGGCAAAAAGUUACCAAUACUCAUGAAUGAAACAGAACUAAGUUCAUUGUCUGAUAUGUUUAUAGAUGGUAGGAAAUUAAAAUGUUAUCAAUUUAAAUGUAGGGGAUAUAAUUCCAAUUACAAUUUUCACUGCCAACUAGAAGAUGAUCUGUAUCAGGAGAAACGACACUUAUGUUAUGAUGGUAGUUUGUAUUUUUACUUUAAGUCUUGGGAAUCUAAAAUCCUAGAAUUUUAGAAAAAAAUUGCAUUUUUUUUUCAGGCAAAUGUGAUAUAUCAGAAGGUAGCUUGAAAAAUUUGGGGGACUAGAGCUUUAUCUUUAAAAAAUUUGAUUAGAAUUCAUUUAAGUUUCUUCCAUCUUAUUUUCAAUGUGCUGAGAAAUGUGGCUGCUCAAGUUUCCUGUGGGAGGUUAUUUGCUGACGGUUCACCAUCGGAAAGACAGACUACAUGUUGAUUUAAGAAGCAUUAAAAGAAAACCCAAAACACCUUGACAACCCACGCUACAUGGUUACUCCGAGUGGGUGCUGAAGCUUGGCAUUGAUUCCUACUCCAUCAACAUCACCAAAAGCAAAUAAAUUCUUUUUUUUUUAAAGAAAGAGACAGGAUAUAUUAAAAUUUUUACAGUGCUAUAGUAUACGGUAUAAAGUAAAAAGAUGACUAUAUGCUAGUUAAGCUAAAGAUGAAAUGGGUCUGAUUUUUUAUUAAUGUUUACUUAUUUUUGAGAGAGAGAGAGACAGAGCAUGAACAGGGGAGGG